UCGUCCGGAGAGCGUACACAGGUGCCAGCANGGCNGUUGUCAGCUCGUGUCGUGAGAUGNCGGGUUAAGUCCCGCAACGAGCGCCACCCCUGCUGCCAGUUGCCAUCGGGUAAAGCCGGGCACUCUGGCGGGACCGCCGGCGACAAGCUGGAGGAAGGUGGGGAUGACGUCAAGUCAUCAUGGCCCUUAUGUCCAGGGCGACACACGUGCUACAAUGGUCGGUACAGAGGGAAGCGAGCCUGCGAAGGCAAGCGGAUCCCAGAAAGCCGGCCCCAGUUCAGAUUGAAGUCUGCAACCCGACUUCAUGAAGCCGGAAUCGCUAGUAAUCGCGGAUCAGCCAAGCCGCGGUGAAUACGUUCCCGGGCCUUGUACACACCGCCCGUCACACCACCCGAGUUGGGUGCACCCGAAGCCGGUGGCUGAACCCGUAAGGGACAGAGCCGUCGAAGGUGUGCUUGGUGAGGGGGGUG
rnacentral:rRNA from 1 species